AGCAGUAGCCACGGUAAUACGAAGGGUGCAAGCGUUAAUCGGAAUUACUGGGCGUAAAGCGUGCGUAGGCGGUUUGUUAAGUCUGCUGUGAAAUCCCCGGGCUCAACCUGGGAAUGGCAGUGGAUACUGGCAAGCUAGAGUGUGUCAGAGGAUGGUGGAAUUCCCGGUGUAGCGGUGAAAUGCGUAGAGAUCGGGAGGAACAUCAGUGGCGAAGGCGGCCAUCUGGGACAACACUGACGCUGAGGCACGAAAGCGUGGGGAGCAAACAGGAUUAGAGACCCGAGUAGUCCCUGUCUCUUAUAC
rnacentral:rRNA from 1 species